rnacentral:rRNA from 1 species
GUUGGGUUCUAGUGGAAAGUUGGGAAUAGGAGGAGAGUUAAAUUAUGGGAAGAUCAUUGGUUUGGUAAUUGUAGCUUAGCCUCCCAAUUCUGGGAUCUGUAUAUCAUUGCUAAUGAAUACAAUGUUUAUAUUGUGGAUCUGUAUAUGGUGGCUUGCUCGCAGUAUACGGUGGCUUGCUCGCAGUAG